rnacentral:rRNA from 1 species
UACGGGGGGGGCAAGCGUUGUUCGGAAUUACUGGGCGUAAAGGGCUCGUAGGCGGCCAACUAAGUCAGACGUGAAAUCCCUCGGCUUAACCGGGGAACUGCGUCUGAUACUGGAUGGCUUGAGUUUGGGAGAGGGAUGCGGAAUUCCAGGUGUAGCGGUGAAAUGCGUAGAUAUCUGGAAGAACACCCGUGGCGAAGGCGGCUCUCUGGGACGGUACUGACGCUGAGACGCGAAAGCGUGGGGAGCGAACAGG